rfam:Thielavia terrestris NRRL 8126 chromosome 2, complete sequence.
CCCCUUGUGGUGUAGUUGGCUAUCACGUUCGGCUGUAAAUGCGUUUACCGAUACCGAAAGGUCACCGGCUCGAUUCCGGUCGAGGGGA